rnacentral:lncRNA from 1 species
AAAAAAAACCACGCGUUUCCGAAGGCCGGCUCUCACUUUCGCUUGGUUUUCGCUUUUGGUUUGCGUUGUAUGCGGAGCGACGUCCGGCUCAACAGGACUAGACCAGCUCAGCCGACUCAACGGAGCUCGCGGUAGGAUGAUACCGUGUUGGCUACGGCCACCUCUGAUCAUCAGUCACCGAGGUUGCUCAAGAUUGUAAAGAGAGCCCCGAAAUGGUAGCUGCCCAGAGUGUCUCAAGGACAGUGUAUCAUGUGGUGAUGCAGGUCC